rnacentral:rRNA from 1 species
UACGUAGGGGGCAAGCGUUGUCCGGAAUCAUUGGGCGUAAAGCGCGUGUAGGCGGCCUUGUCAGUCCGUUCUGAAAGUCCGGGGCUCAACCCCGGGAGGCGGAUGGAUACUGCAAGGCUCGAGUCCGGAAGAGGCGAGUGGAAUUCCCGGUGUAGCGGUGAAAUGCGCAGAUAUCGGGAGGAACACCAAUGGCGAAGGCAGCUCGCUGGGACGGUACUGACGCUGAGACGCGAAAGCGUGGGGAGCAAACAGG